rnacentral:lncRNA from 1 species
UAAAAAUAUAUUUUAGUUUAAUCAUGAAAUCAAAUGCUUAAUUUGAUUUCAGAGCUUAAGGUUAAAAGGAUGAAUGUGUUCGGUUCAAGGCUUGAUCGCGAAAUCCGUAGAAUAAUGUCGGGAGGAAAUGAGGAUGAUACGGUACCCCUUAUCAAUGAGGAGAUACGUCAAAAGAUUUUUUGAAGAGGUCGGUAAAGCAUUAGAAGCUAGUCUACCCCUGUUUAUGGAGAGACUACAAACUAACAUUCUGACCCGUUGAAGAAAGGAUCAACGAGCUAAAGGAGAGCCUUACCCAAGAAAAGGAUAAGGCUAAAGAAAAGAAAGCUUGUCCUUACGACAAGUUUAUGGCAUAUAAACCUUCGACUUAUAAUGGAGAGGCAGAUCCAAUCGCUUGUCAAAGGUGGAUAAGCGAUAUUAAAGGUGUUUUUGAACGAACUCACUACGACUCGAGUGAUUUUGUGGCUUACGGGACCGACCAAUUAAGGGCCUAAGCCAAGGAUGGGUGGGAUAACAUCAGAAAUGAAAAGGGGAUUGAAGCUACAUGGACUAUGACUUAGGAGGAAUUUAACGCGCCCUUCCUCAAACACCAUAGUCCUAAAGCAAUGAUCAAUAAGAUCAA